GAUGAGCGCUGGCGGCGUGCCUAAUACAUGCAAGUCGAGCAAACAGAUAAGGAGCUUGCUCCUUUGACGUUAGCGGCGGACGGGUGAGUAACACGUGGAUAACCUACCUAUAAGACUGGGAUAACUUCGGGAAACCGGAGCUAAUACCGGAUAACAUAUUGAACCGCAUGGUUCAAUAGUGAAAGGCGGCUUUGCUGUCACUUAUAGAUGGAUCCGCGCCGUAUUAGCUAGUUGGUAAGGUAACGGCUUACCAAGGCAACGAUACGUAGCCGACCUGAGAGGGUGAUCGGCCACACUGGAACUGAGACACGGUCCAGACUCCUACGGGAGGCAGCAGUAGGGAAUCUUCCGCAAUGGGCGAAAGCCUGACGGAGCAACGCCGCGUGAGUGAUGAAGGUCUUCGGAUCGUAAAACUCUGUUAUCAGGGAAGAACAAAUGUGUAAGUAACUGUGCACAUCUUGACGGUACCUGAUCAGAAAGCCACGGCUAACUACGUG
rnacentral:rRNA from 1 species